rnacentral:rRNA from 1 species
UGGGGAAUUUUGGACAAUGGGCGAAGCCUGAUCCAGCAAUGCUGCGUGUGUGAAGAAGGCCUUCGGGUUGUAAAGCACUUUUGUCCGGAAAGAAAUCCUUGGCUCUAAUACAGUCGGGGGAUGACGGUACCGGAAGAAUAAGCACCGGCUAACUACGUGCCAGCAGCCGCGGUAAUACGUAGGGUGCAAGCGUUAAUCGGAAUUACUGGGCGUAAAGCGUGCGCAGGCGGUUUGCUAAGACCGAUGUGAAAUCCCCGGGCUCAACCUGGGAACUGCAUUGGUGACUGGCAGGCUAGAGUAUGGCAGAGGGGGGUAGAAUUCCACGUGUAGCAGGUGAAAUGCGUAGAGAUGUGGAGGAAUACCGAUGGCGAAGGCAGCCCCCUGGGCCAAAUACUGACGCUCAUGCACGAAAAGCGUGGGGAGCAAAACAGGAUUAGAUACCCUGGUAGUCCACGCCCUAAAACGAUGUCAACUAGUUGUUGGGGAUUCAUUUCCUUAGUAACGUAGCUAACGCGUGAAGUUGACCGCUGGGGAGUACGGUCGCAAAGAUUAAAACUCAAAAUGAAUUGACGGGGUCAUAGCUGUUUCCUG